CCUACGGGAGGCUGCAGUGGGGGAUAUUGCACAAUGGGGGAAACCCUGAUGCAGCGACGCCGCGUGGGUGAAGAAGCGCCUCGGCGCGUAAAGCCCUGUCAGCAGGGAAGAAAAUGACGGUACCUGAAGAAGAAGCCCUGGCGAACUACGUGCCAGCAGCCGCGGUAAAACGUAGGGGCAAAGCGUUCUCCGGUUGUACUGGGGGAAAAGGGGGCGCAGACGGCGAGGCAGGCAAGGGGUGAAAGCCCGGGGCCCAACCCCGGGACUGCUCUUGGAACUGAGUGGCUAGAGUGCAGGAGGGGCUGGCGGAAUUCCUGGUGUAGCAGUGAAAUGCGUAGAUAUCAGGAGGAACACCAGUGGCGAAGGCGGCCUGCUGGACUGCAACUGACGUUGAGGCCCGAAAGCGUGGGGAGCAAACAGGAUUAGAUACCCCUGUAGUC
rnacentral:rRNA from 1 species